UACGGAGGAUGCAAGCGUUAUCCGGAAUUAUUGGGCGUAAAGCGUCCGCAGGUGGCAAUUCAAGUCUGCUGUUAAAGGUCAGGGCUCAACCCUGAACAGGCAGUGGAAACUGAAUAGCUAGAGUGCGGUAGGGGCAGAGGGAAUUCCCAGUGUAGCGGUGAAAUGCGUAGAGAUUGGGAAGAACACCGGUGGCGAAGGCGCUCUGCUAGGCCGUAACUGACACUCAUGGACGAAAGCUAGGGGAGCAAACAGG
rnacentral:rRNA from 1 species